GAUGAAAACAUUUGCAAACCACAGAUCUGAUAAAGUGUUCUCCAGAAUACCUAAAAAAAAAAAAACUCUCAAAAGUCAACAGUAAAAUAAUCCAAAUGAUUCAAAUAGAACAUGGGCAAAAGAUGCAAAGAGCUCACAUGGAUGAAAAAUAUACUAGCUAUCAGCGCAAGUCAAGCCACUGCAAAAUUUCACUAUGGACCCAUGGUAAUCACUAAAAAAAAUACUGCCCAAACUGACUGCCUGUGAGGAUGUGGAGAAACUGGAUCACUCUAGUGGGAAUUUAAAAUGGUAUAGU
rnacentral:lncRNA from 1 species